rnacentral:rRNA from 1 species
AUUGAACGCUGGCGGCAGGCCUAACACAUGCAAGUCGAACGAGUGGCGGACGGGUGAGGAAUGUCUGGGAAACUGCCUGAUGGAGGGGGAUAACUACUGGAAACGGUAGCUAAUACCGCAUACCAUCGGAUGUGCCCAGAUGGGAUGAGCUAGUAGGUGGGGUAAAGGCUCACCUAGGCGACGAUCCCUAGCUGGUCUGAGAGGAUGACCAGCCAAACCGGAAUUGAGACACGGUCGAGAUUCCUACGGUCGGCAGGAGUGGGGAAUAUUGCACAAUGGGCGCAAGCCUGCUGCAGCCAUGCCGCGUGUAUGAAGAAGGCCUUCGGGUUGUAAAGUACUUUCAGCGGGGAGGCGUUACCCGCAGAAGAAGUACCGGCUAACUCCGUGCCAGCAGCCGCGGUAAUUC